UACGGGGGGGGCAAGCGUUGUUCGGAAUUACUGGGCGUAAAGGGCUCGUAGGUGGCCAACUAAGUCAGACGUGAAAUCCCUCAGCUUAACUGGGGAACUGCGUCUGAUACUGGUCUGGCUUGAGUGCAGGAGAGGAACGCGGAAUUCCAGGUGUAGCGGUGAAAUGCGUAGAUAUCUGGAGGAACACCGGUGGCGAAGGCGGCGUUCUGGACUGCAACUGACACUGAGGAACGAAAGCCAGGGGAGCAAACGGG
rnacentral:rRNA from 1 species